UACGGAGGAUGCGAGCGUUAUCCGGAUUUAUUGGGUUUAAAGGGUGCGUAGGCGGAUUAAUAAGUCAGUGGUGAAAUGCUGCAGCUUAACUGUAGAAUUGCCAUUGAUACUGUUAGUCUUGAGUACGGUCAAGGUAGGCGGAAUGUGUAAUGUAGCGGUGAAAUGCUUAGAUAUUACACAGAACACCGAUUGCGAAGGCAGCUUACUGGGCCGCAACUGACGCUGAUGCACGAAAGCGUGGGGAGCGAAC
rnacentral:rRNA from 1 species